GACGAACGCUGGCGGCGUGCUUAACACAUGCAAGUCGAACGCUGAAGCUCAGCUUUUGUUGGCUGGAUGAGUGGCGAACGGGUGAGUAACACGUGAGUAACCUGCCCCCUUCUUUGGGAUAACGCCCGGAAACGGGUGCUAAUACUGGAUAUUCACUGGUCUUCGCAUGGGGGUUGGUGGAAAGGGUUUUUCUGGUGGGGGAUGGGCUCGCGGCCUAUCAGCUUGUUGGUGGGGUGAUGGCCUACCAAGGCUUUGACGGGUAGCCGGCCUGAGAGGGUGACCGGUCACAUUGGGACUGAGAUACGGCCCAGACUCCUACGGGAGGCAGCAGUGGGGAAUAUUGCACAAUGGGCGCAAGCCUGAUGCAGCGACGCCGCGUGAGGGAUGGAGGCCUUCGGGUUGUGAACCUCUUUCGCUCAUGGUCAAGCCGCAACAAUGGUUGUGGUGAGGGUAGUGGGUAAAGAAGCGCCGGCUAACUACGUG
rnacentral:rRNA from 1 species